AGAAAUGGGACAAAAUCUAAGAAACUAGCAAGAUUCCCCAAAUGAGCAGUUAAAUUUGGAGAAGAUUUUGUGUAGUUUUGGCCUGCCUCAACAUAACCUAAUUUUGAAGGUAAUUAACAUAUUGGCUUCUUGCACUGCUUUAUCUUGUACCUCUUGUCUGAGAGGUACUGCACAGAUUUUCUCUUUUUGAGUGAGACUCUUCCAUCCUUCUUUGUUGUAACACAUUUCUCUGGUGAUUCUUGUGCAUAAUUUCUCUGGGACCAGUGCAAAUAUUUGAUGUCAUUGUCCAUGGUUUAUUACUGAUGUUUGCAUAAAGUGGCUGUCUGAGAUUUAGAAGACCUCAGAUAAACCUUUAGGUCUGUGUUGCUGAGGGAUGUUUUGCUUGUCUGUAUAAUGAAUUUCUGAAGGAUAGCCAUUGCUAACCUCAGGUCUUCUUUCAGCAAGGGGAGAGAUCUGAAAAUCACCCAUCCCUCAGCCACCUCACAUUUGAGUGAUGUUUCCCUGCAGUAAACUAUUUCCAAAGUUGUCUGAUUUUUAUAAUGAUUGGUGUUUCUUUAACAUGAUGCUGUACUGUGAUUUUGGUUUGGAAACAGAUAGGCCUGAUAAGAUAGAUGUGUAUUUGUCACAGCUUAUUUUCUUCUUGAGUCACAUUCUUUGUUUCACAUGCCCAUUAAAAAAAAAAAAAAUUCCCAUUUCCCAAUUUAACUUGCUCAGCAUUCCCUGGAAAUGCAUGCAUAUUGUAAAUGUCUGCAGAUGUGUAAAUCAUAUCACAAAGACAUCUAUUUCUUUCACCACCUGUUUUUCAUUGCAAAUGGAAUUGUCUUGAAAUAUGCUUCGGUUUGUGGGAGCUAGAAUCAGAGCUUUGGCUUAUUAUAUUCAAAUAUGUGUGUAAGUGCUAUUUAUUUGGGUGGUAAACAUUAGGCAAUGUCAAAAGUGCAGUGAGUUUCUUUACACAGAUUACAGGUACCCUUGCUGAUUUUUAAUGUAUAGAAGUUCUUGUCUUUUCUUCUACUCUUAGUAUUAUGUCCCUGUCUUACUCCACUAUUUUGUCCCUCCCAUAUGUACAUUUCACAUCCUUUGGAGCACAUUGGGAUAUUUCAUCAUGACCUAGAUAAAAAUAUCUCUUUCUCAGGCAGUCAUUAAUAUGCCAAAAGAGGCCUCUAACAUGAUAAAACUAUUGAUAAUUUGUCAUCUCACUUACAAUAAUUUACCUGUCCUUUACUAGGGAUAGUUGUGUUUUCCCCUUCAAACCUAUGUUUCACCCUUGGCUAGGUGGAAUGCCAUGUUAAAAGAAAUAUUAAAAGUAAAUAUACAUUGAUGUUUUAGUGAAACUUUGGUUUCCAAGUAUCAUUCUUUCAAACUGACUUCUCUCUGAAGCCAUUUUUGAUUGUAUGUUAAAAAAAAAAGUACUGAUGUCUGUACAGUUUGUACUUGACAGAAUAAAUUUCAGCAUUCACCUUCUAUUUCCAUGAUUUACACUCUAGAACCAGAACAAAUAAAAAGGCUUUGUUCUCUCAGAUGUUUUAGGGCAACUGAAGGUAAGAUUUUGUGGGUAUACAGAGUUAUUCUCUUGUCAGUAGAACCCGGAGGAAGAAUGGUCACUAGAUAGACAUGGACAGUAACUUCCCCUUUCUCGAUGUAGUAAUGUUUAAGACUGUCAGUAAACUUUGAGAAUUGUUCGGCCUUUUUGAAAAGCAUGCCUGUUUAGGUAUACUGUAUUGAAAAGUGUUCUGCUUAUGAAAACUGAUCUUGGUACUUUAUCUUAACUUUACUUCCUGUUUCUCCCUCUGUUAAAUGUUGAUGCUUAUUUGUAUUAUAUUGUGGUUUGAAUUGUCCAAUUAUGACACAGCUAAGAUUUUUAUGUAUUUUUUUUAAAAGGCAGGCUUUAUUUAAAUGCUUAUCUCUGAAUCAUAUUUGGAAGCAUAAGAAAAAUAAAAACCAAGGAAAACAUGUCAGUUAUUUACUUACUUUGUAACUAAGUGACAUUGGCCCUGGGGAGAUGCACAUAGGUCUUGGCAUUCAGAGUUCUAUCAAAUAGCUUAAAUCUGUAAUCUCUGAGCACAUCUAAAUGCCUCUCUUGCUCCCAGUAGGCUUUUUCCAAGAGCAACAUCUGUGUAGAUGAGCCUUAGUAUCAUGGUCAGAUUCAUUCUUUUCACCCUCUUAACACACAGUAGCCAUGCAGUCCUCAUCAGAUUUAUGUUUGAACAGUUAAUUUGCCAGAUUUGGAGUUAAAUUUCUGUACAAGAUCCUCUAUUAUGUAAAAUAAAUGUCACAACUCGUUUGACAGUGUAAUACCAUUCUGAUAGUGUUAAAAUGCAAUUUAAACAAAAAUUUCCAGUUUUAUAAAAUUUUUGUUAACUGAUUUGUAAAGCUGCAGUCAUGGGUCAGAAUUUUUUUUUUAUUUGUUUCACUUGCUGUUGUAAAAAUGGUAUGACUCCUAACAAACUUUGUCCAUCCUACAGUCAAUUAUUUUCAUUAUUAGAGACAUUAUUUAUUUGAUGAACAUAAACAUACAUUAACUGGAAUAUAAUACUGCAUUUCCUGAAAACAUUUGAAGUGUACAGUUCAAGAGUAAGGGUGAAAACAUGUGAUAUCAAUAUUUCUGUAAGUUAAAAAAGUUACCCAUUUUGCAAGUGGCCCAUAUUCUGGGUUCUGUAUAUUGUAAUAUUUUGUAGUUAGAAACUGUCAUAUUUCUUUAGGUGACUUAGUAAUUUAUCAAAAUUAUUUCUUUUUAUUUACACAAAUUUUCAAGAGGAUAAGUGCUGGACCUUAACAGUUCUGUGGUCAGAGUGAUCAGAGCAACAUAAACUUUCAUUCCUUUCUCUAGACUCCCCUUUAGCUUUGGUUCAGACUGAAACCUUUGUUUAAAUCACAUAAUGGAUGGGCUGUCUUCCAAAUGAAGAGUCUGUCUGGAGACACAGUCUCAAAUUCCGUAUUUACAUAUUGUGGAAUAUUAUUGAUUCUGAGUUAUGAGUCAAAACUAAAUUGAGAACUGCUCAGAUUUGGAACGUAAGUGGAAUGCUACCAUGCUGACCUCAAUUAAUGUUGUGCUAUCAAUUUCAACAGGAAAAAAAUACUGUCAUCUACUAUUAUCAAACUGUUAUCAUCUAGUUGGCUUGAAUAUUCCAAAACAGAAGAAAUUAAAGGAAGUAAAUACCUCAAAUGAUCAUGAAAUAUUAUUGUUCUUGUUAUGUGAUGACAAAAGGAAGUGUAUUUUAAUAAUGUAAAAAAAUAAAAUUGUUCUAUAUUCAAAUUAGUCUACGAAGUACAAUUUUCAAAUGUAAGGACUUUGAUUUUCUUCAGUGAGGAGAAAUUUGCUGAUAUGUGAUCAACACUGUUCUCAUAAAAUAUGUGGAUGGGUAAUCUUGUGCUGUCUCAGAACAUACUUAGAAUGGGAAAGUACUAUUUCAUGUUGCUGAAAUGAUACUGUUUUAAAUUAAACUAUACAUCUUUUGAGCUGACAAUAUGCUGAGAGUUAUGUGUGAUGGAGGAAAACAAGGACAGUCUGAUUUCAUUCACAGUUGUCUAUAAGAGAAUAAUUUCUGAAAGGCUCUUAAUUUAUGAUGGUAUAAAUUCAGCACUUUGUUUACUGCCUUUACUGAGAAAGUGUGGAGUUUAUGUGAAGUUUAUUGUGGAGUUUAUGAACAUGACCUGAAAUAAUCUAUUUCACAUUAGGUAAUUUAACUUUCUUACCUAAAUAAGGAGCUUUGUCACCCUAGAAUCAAUGGAAAGUGAAUGCUGCCUUCAAAGGUAAAUCAGAUACUGCUUUCAUCUUUUUAAAUACUCAACAACCAAGAAUGAUGAAACUUUUAAUUUAGAUGCCCACUGACAGACUUCAAAUGAGGUAGGAUGAAUUUAGAUUUAUAUGUGUUCUGUCUUACAUGUAAGUAUAUUUCUGUGUCUGAGCAGUUCUAGUGCAUACACUGUCCAAACAAAAUUUUGUGAAACAUCCUGCAUAAAAUAAAGCUAUUGUUAGUAAAAUAAUAA